rnacentral:rRNA from 1 species
AUUGAACGCUGGCGGCAGGCCUAACACAUGCAAGUCGAACGAGUGGCGGACGGGUGAGUAAUGUCUGGGAAACUGCCCGAUGGAGGGGGAUAACUACUGGAAACGGUAGCUAAUACCGCAUACCAUCGGAUGUGCCCAGAUGGGAUGAGCUAGUAGGUGGGGUAACGGCUCACCAGGGCGACGAUCCCUAGCUGGCCGGAGAGGAUGACCCGCCACACUGGAACUGAGACACGGUCCAGACGCCGACGGGAGGCAGCAGUGGGGAAUAUUGAGCAAUGGGCGCAAGCCUGAUGCAGCCAUGCCGCGGGUAUGAAGAAGGCCUUCGGGUUGUAAAGUACUUUUAGCGAGGAGGCGUUACUCGAAGAAGAAGCACCGGCUAACUCCGUGCCAGCAGCCGCGGUAAUAC